rnacentral:rRNA from 1 species
UACGGGGGGGGCGAAGCGUUGUUCGGAAUUACUGGGCGUAAAGGGCUCGUAGGUGGCCAACUAAGUCAGACGUGAAAUCCCUCGGCUUAACCGGGGAACUGCGUCUGAUACUGGAUGGCUUGAGUUUGGGAGAGGGACGCGGAAUUCCAGGUGUAGCGGUGAAAUGCGUAGAUAUCUGGAGGAACACCGAUGGCGAAGGCAGCCCCCUGGGUCAAGAUUGACGCUCAUGCACGAAAGCGUGGGGAGCAAACAGG